rnacentral:lncRNA from 1 species
AGAAGCAGACUCAAUGGUUUCCUUGUGAGAGGUCCGGCUCCCUGGCCUAGAAAUGGAGGCCUCACGGGCAGGAGGGUAGUGGUAUGUAGCUGUAGUGGUAUGUGCUCUCUCUCAAUGCUGAGCUGCAGCUCCCAGUCAGCCACUGGAUCAUGAGGGUAAAAUACGGAUACUUGACAUCUUCUUAAAGAACAUCAUGCCUGCUAAGCCAUCCAGUUUGGAUGCCCCAGUGCCUUCCACCAGCCAUUCUCAAGCCUCAUUAGAAGAGAGAGAUUGAUGACCCUGUAGCUGCAGCAUCCCAUCAUCCUGCAUUUUAGUUCAAUGCUUCAAACGUUCUUCAGGCCCAGUGUGCUUUCAGCUGUGUAUGUUAAUGGCUACAAACCUGUACAGCAUGUGAUUCUACUGAAUAUACGGGCAAUUGUUAACACAAUGACAUUUGAAGUUCUACAAUGAACCCAUCGGAGAUGCAAAGAAAAGCACCUCCGCGGAGACGGAGACACCGCAAUCGAGCACCGUCGAGUCACAAGAUGAACAAAAUGAUGAUGUCAGAAGAACAGAUGAAGUUGCCAUCCACCAAUAAGGCAGAGCCGCUGACUUGGGCACAACUAAACAAGCUGACGCAGUUAGCUACAAAAUGUCUAGAGAACACAAAGAUGACACAAACUCCAGAGAGUAUGCUGCUUGCAGCAUUGAUGAUUGUAUCAACGGUGCACCGUAUUCUGCUGGUGAGAGCAAGAGAAGGCAUGCGGAUCCCUGUGUCCAUGGACCAACCGUGGGAGGCCUCGCCAUCCGUCCAUGUUUUGACUGAAGUAUUAAAAGGCAUUUUAAAUAGAUCCAAAAGAUUCAUUUUUACUUUAAUUACAGUGAUUAUGGGAUUAAUUGCAGUCACAGCUAUGGCUGCUAUAGCAGGAGUUGCGUUGCACUCUUCUGUUCAGUCAGUAAACUUUGUUAAUGAUUGGCAAAAGAAUUCUACGAGAUUGUGGAAUUCGCAAUCUGGUAUUGAUCAAAAAAUGGCAAAUCAAAUUAAUGUUCUUAGACAAGCUGUCAUUUGGAUGGGAGACAGGCUCAUGAGCUUAGAACAUCGUUUCCAGUUACAGUGUGACUGGAAUACGUCAGAUUUUUGUAUUACACCCCAAGUUUAUAAUGAGUCUGAGCAUCACUGGGACAUGGUUAGACGCCAUCUACAGGGAAGAGAAGAUAAUCUCACUUUAGACAUUUCCAAAUUAAAAGAACAAAUUUUUGAAACAUCAAAAGCCCAUUUAAAUUUGGUGCCAGGAACUGAGGCAAUCGCAGGAGUUGCUGAUGGCCUCGCAAAUCUUAACCCUGUCACUUGGGUUAAGACCAUCGGAAGUACUAUGAUUAUAAAUUUCAUAUUAAUCCUUGUGUGCCUGUUUUGUCUGUUGUUAGUCUGCAGGUGUACCCAACAGCUCUGAAGAGACAGUGACCAUUGAGAACGGGCCAUGAUGACGAUGGCUGUUUUGUCGAAAAGAAAAGGGGGAAAUGUGGGGAAAAGAAAGACAGAUCAGAUUGUUACUGUGUCUGCAUAGAAAGAAGUAGACACAGGAGACUCCAUUUUGUUCUGUAUUAAGAAAAAUUCUUCUGCUUUGAGAUGCUGUUAAUCUGUAACCUUACCCCAACCCCGUGCUCUCUGAAACACAUGCUGUGUCAACUCAGGGUUAAAUGGAUUAAGGGCUGUGCAGGAUGUGCUUUGUUAAACAGAUGCUUGAAGGCAGCAUGCUCCUUUAGAGUCAUCACCACGCCCUAAUCUCAACUACCCAGGGACACAAACACUGCGGAAGGCCACAGGGACCUCUGCCUAGGAAAGCCAGGUAUUGUCCAAGGUUUCUCCCCAUGUGAUAGUCUGAAAUAUGGCCUCGUGGGAAGGGAAAGACCUGACCGUCCCCCAGCCCAACACCCAUAAAGGGUCUGUGCUGAGGAGGAUUAGUAUAAGAGGAAGGCAUGCCUCUUUGCAGUUGAGACAAGAGGAAGGCAUCUGUCUCCUGCCCAUCCCUGGGCAAUGGAAUGUCUCGGUAUAAAACCCGAUUGUAUGUUCCAUCUACUGAGAUAGGGGAAAACCGCCUUAGGGCUGGAGGUGGGACAUGUGGGCAACAAUACUGCUCUGUAAGGCAUUGAGAUGUUUAUGUGUAUGCAUAUCUAAAGCACAGCACUUAAUUCUUUACCUUGUCUAUGAUGCAGAGACCUUUGUUCACGUGUUUAUCUGCUGACCUUCUCUCCAUUAUUAUCCUAUGACCCUGCCACAUCCCCCUCUCUGAGAAACACCCAAGAAUGAUCAAUAAAUACUAAGGGAACUCAGAGGCUGGUGGGAUCCUCCGUAUGCUGAAUGCUGGUCCCCUGGGCCCCCUUAUUUCUUUCUCUAU